AGCCAUAUUACGUCGAAAUACCAGUUCCCGUCUGAUCACUGUAGUUAAGAAGCAGCUUUGGGCCUGGUCAGUACCAAGAUGGCUAACCGUUUGGGAAUAUCAGAUGCUGUAAG